CCUCUUUUAGGAUUGGCUGCCCCUCCGCAUCCAUAAUGUAAUUAAAACAAGGGGGGAAAAAAUUAUCAUGGAGGCAGAGGUUAAUGCAAGUGUUUAGCAGAUGCCUCACUGUAAAAUCUGCAUUAAAAAAAAAAAAGCAAAAACGAAAACCAAAACAAAAAAAAAAAAACCCAAACAACAAACCAACCAAAAAGCCAACCAAGUCAUUAAAACUUAAAUAUCGGAUAAUCCCAAACCAGCUUGCUGCCUGCGCCUACGCACCUCGGCCAGUAUUCACCCGAAUCACUUACGCUCCUGCACUUUCAUGCUUGUUUAACUGGUCUGAUCGGAAAGUGACUGAAGAAGCCGGGAAGUGGAGAACGGAGUGUCAUGCACCUUCUCGGACCUGCAGGGAAACGGGGCCGUGGCCAAAGCGUUGGGUGUAAAUGCGACAACAAAAAUAAAUAUUUUACAUCACCGUGCGGAACAUAUUUUACUAAGUCA